GACAGAGGGUGCAAACGUUGUUCGGAAUUACUGGGCGUAAAGCGAGUGUAGGCGGUUUGGUAAGUCGGAUGUGAAAGCCCCGGGCUCAACCCGGGAAGUGCACUCGAUACUGCCAAGCUAGAGUAUCGGAGAGGUUGGUGGAAUUCUCGGUGUAGAGGUGGAAUGCGCAGAUAUCAGGAAGAACACCAACGGCGAAGGCAGCUCGCUGGGACGGAACUGACGCUAAGGCGCGAAAGCGUGGGGAGCGAACAGG
rnacentral:rRNA from 1 species